GACGAACGCUGGCGGCGUGCUUAACACAUGCAAGUCGAACGGUGAAGGGACCGGUUUUUGCUGGUUCUGGAUGAGUGGCGAACGGGUGAGUAACACGUGAGUAACCUGCCCCCUUCUUCUGGAUAACCGCAUGAAAGUGUGGCUAAUACGGGAUAUUCUGCGCCUGCUGCAUGGUGGGUGUGGGAAAGAUAUUGUUUCGGUGGGGGAUGGGCUCGCGGCCUAUCAGCUUGUUGGUGGGGUGAUGGCCUACCAAGGCGGUGACGGGUAGCCGGCCUGGGAGGGUGGACGGUCACACUGGGACUGAGACACGGCCCAGACUCCUACGGGAGGCAGCAGUGGGGAAUAUUGCACAAUGGGCGAAAGCCUGAUGCAGCGACGCCGCGUGAGGGAUGGAGGCCUUCGGGUUGUAAACCUCUUUCGCCAGUGAAGCAGGCCUGUCCCUUUUGUGGGUGGGUUGACGGUAGCUGGAGAAGAAGCGCCGGCUAACUACGUG
rnacentral:rRNA from 1 species